UUGUAUGCAAGUAUUAGGACAACAUGUCAGGUUCGUGUCCGUAAUAAAAUGUACCAAGUUGGUAUGGAUGAUGAUUUCGGAAUUCUGACAAAUGAUUUUCUAACAAUAUGUCACUAAAAAUAUCAUGCAUUUGGGUGGUGUUAGAGAAGGUCAUCACAGAAUUAAUAAUUUUCAGAUUUUCUUUCAUAAUUUUCUUUGAGGGAA
rnacentral:lncRNA from 1 species